rnacentral:sRNA from 1 species
UAGUUCCAAGUAUUUGCUGUUCUUUUACAUACAUGUAUUUUUCAUUUAUUAAGAGUAUUUGCAUGGAUAUUUGAACUUGUUUAAUUUAAAAAAUAAUAUUUUAAGGAAGCUGGAUGACCAUGGCCAUUUUUGGAUUACCGAUAUAUUAAUCUCCUUUAAUUGGAGAGUUCUGAAAAUAUUUCAAUUUUUAAAGCUGGAAUAUUUUAUUUCUUUCAUCACAAAAUAAUGGUUUAUGGUAAAAUGUAUUAAAAUUCAAAGUUAGAUCUGAUGGAUAAUUUGUUUACUAUUCAGCCAGCCAGUCCUUAAAAAUCAACAUGUGAUGCACCCAUCCAAAAAAAAAAAAUCAAUAUUUUUUCAUGAACAUAACGCUGUAUGUGAUUAUCAAUCUCUAAUUGUAUUCAUGAAAUGCAAUACAAGGAAUGUAUGUUCCAUUGUUAAUGAGUGUCGAUCCAAUUAAAAAAAAUAUUUCUAAAAAUAUUUGGUCUAUUUUAAGACCGACAAUAUUUAUCCUUGUUAAUUUUUGUAAUGAAACAGUUUUUAAACAUGUUAAAGAUGUAAUCGGAAUUAAAUAUUACGCAC